AAGCAGUGGAGCAUGUGGUUUAAUUCGAAGCAACGCGAAGAACCUUACCAGGUCUUGACAUCCUUUGACCACCCAAGAGAUUGGGCUUCCCCUUCGGGGGCAAAGUGACAGGUGGUGCAUGGUUGUCGUCAGCUCGUGUCGUGAGAUGUUGGGUUAAGUCCCGCAACGAGCGCAACCCUUGAUCUUAGUUGCCAGCAUUGAGUUGGGCACUCUAAGGUGACUGCCGGUGACAAACCGGAGGAAGGUGGGGAUGACGUCAAAUCAUCAUGCCCCUUAUGACCUGGGCUACACACGUGC
rnacentral:rRNA from 1 species